AAUUCGCCCUUAGAGUUUGAUCCUGCUCAGGAUGAACGCUGGCGGUGUGCCUUAGGCAUGCAAGUCGAACGAGAAUCUCUCUUCGGAGAGAGGACAGUGGCAGACGGGUGAGUAACACGUAGGAAUCUACCCUUUAGUGGGGAAUAGCCCGCCGAAAGGCGGGGUAAUACCGCAUAUGGCCGCAAGGUCAAAGUCUUCGGACGCUAAAGGAGGAGCCUGCGCGCUAUCAGCUAGUUGGUGGGGUAAUGGCCUACCAAGGCUACGACGGCUAGCCGAUGUGAGAGCAUGAUCGGCCACAAGGCUACUGAGACACGGAGCCUACACCUACGGGUGGCAGCAACCGGGAAUAUUGCGCAAUGGACGAAAGUCUGACGCAGCGACACCGCGUGCGGGAAGACGCUCUUCGGAGUGUAAACCGCUGUGGCGAGGGAGGAAAUUUUGACAGUACCUCGCUAGAAAGCACCAGCUAACUACGUGCCAGAAGCUUCGGUAAUACGUAGGGUGCAAGCGUUAUCCGGAUUUACUGGGCGUAAAGGGUCAGUCGGCGUCCUUGUAAGUUUCUUGUCCAAGCCCAGGGCUUAACUCUGGAAAGGCAAGGAAAACUGCAAGGAUAGAGUCCGUUCGAGGAAGUUAGAAUUCUCGGUGGAGGGGUGAAAUCCGUAGAUAUCGAGAGGAAUACCAAGCGCGAAGGCAGACUUCUAGGACGUGACUGACGCUCAGAGACGAAAGCUUGGGUAGCAAAGCGGAUUAGAGAC
rnacentral:rRNA from 1 species